rnacentral:rRNA from 1 species
UACGUAGGGUGCGAGCGUUUAAUCGGAAUUACUGGGCGUAAAGCGUGCGCAGGCGGUCUGUUAAGACCGAUGUGAAAUCCCCGGGCUUAACCUGGGAACUGCAUUGGUGACUGGCAGGCUUUGAGUGUGGCAGAGGGAGGUAGAAUUCCACGUGUAGCAGUGAAAUGCGUAGAGAUGUGGAGGAAUACCGAUGGCGAAGGCAGCCUCCUGGGGCCAACACUGACGCUCAUGCACGAAAGCGUGGGGAGCAAACAGG